AACGAACGCUGGCGGCAUGCCUAACACAUGCAAGUCGAACGAGACCUUCGGGUUUAGUGGCGCACGGGUGCGUAACGCGUGGGAACCUGCCCUUAGGUUCGGAAUAACUCCCCGAAAGGGGUGCUAAUACCGGAUAAUGUCCUCGGACCAAAGAUUUAUCGCCUUUGGAUGGGCCCGCGUUGGAUUAGCUAGUUGGUAGGGUAAAAGCCUACCAAGGCGACGAUCCAUAGCUGGUUUGAGAGGAUGAUCAGCCACACUGGGACUGAGACACGGCCCAGACUCCUACGGGAGGCAGCAGUGGGGAAUAUUGGACAAUGGGCGAAGGCCUGAUCCAGCAAUGCCGCGUGAGUGAUGAAGGCCGUAGGGUUGUAAAGCUCUUUUACCCGGGAUUAUAAUGACAGUACCGAGAGAAUAAGCUCCGGCUAACUCCGUG
rnacentral:rRNA from 1 species